ensembl:lncRNA
GAAAAUGCAACAUCAGCGAACCACCAAACAAACUCUGUAAAACGUAACAAUAUUUCAAUCUUACCUUCAUAUCAGCCAAAAGGAGGUGGCUGCAGAGACUGUUAACAAUUCGAAAAAUAAGCACUUAUGGCACGUUAAUCUGUAUGUUGCACAGUUGGUUUGACAACUUGAGGUCCAAAGGUUAAGGAGCAUACCGUGCCGAAGUUAGUUUGAUGUUGGAUAUCCAACAGAUAUUCAACAGAUAUUCGGCCAUUAAUUUCCUAUGGAAGACGGCUUUUUGCUCAAUAGCUUCCGAGUUAUGGGACCCAGAGGCCCCAGACCAAUGUAGACCUGUCCUACUAUGUGGUACUAACAACACACACCUCACUAAAAAUUUAUAUUUUAUUUAUUUCAUUUUAAUUGUGAAAAAUUGCGGAAAAUAUAUAUUUGUAAAAUAAGCCUUGUGGCACAUGGGGGUUAUUAUUAUCUGUCUUAUACAGUUGGUUUGAUAUCUUGAGGUCAAAAGGUUAAGGAGCAUAAUACGUUUAUUUAUUUAUUUUAUUUGUGAAAAAUUGCCCAAAUGAUAUAUUUGAAAAAUAAGCCUUGUGGCAAAUGGGGGUUAUUAUUAUCUGUGUUAUACAGUUGGUUUUAUAUCUUGAGGUCAAAAGGUCAAGGAGCAUAAUACGUUUAUUUAUUUAUUUUAUUUGUGAAAAAUUGCCAAAAUGAUAUAUUUGAAAAAUAAGCCUUGUGGCAAAUGGGGGUUAUUAUUAUCUGUGUUAUACAAUUGGUUUUAUAUCUUGAGGUCAAAAGGUCAAGGAGCAUAAUACGUUUAUUUAUUUAUUUUAUUUGUGAAAAAUUCCCGAAAUGAUAUUUUGGAAAAAUAAGCAUUGUGGCACAGGGGGGUUAUUAUUAUCUGUCUUAUACAGUUGGUUUGAUAUCUUGAGGUCAAUAGGUCAAGGAGCAUAAUACGUUUAUUUAUUUAUUUUAUUUGUGAAAAAUUGCCCAAAUGAUAUAUUUGAAAAAUAAGCCUUGUGGCAAAUGGGGGUUAUUAUUAUCUGUGUUAUACAGUUGGUUUUAUAUCUUGAGGUCAAAAGGUCAAGGAGCAUAAUACGUUUAUUUAUUUAUUUUAUUUGUGAAAAAUUGCCGUAAUGAUAUUUUUGAAAAAUAAGCCUUGUGGCACAGGGGGGUUAUUAUUAUCUGUCUUAUACAGUUGGUUUGAUAUCUUGAGGUCAAAAGGUCAAGGAGCAUAAUACGUUUUAUUUAUUUAUUUUAUUUGUGAAAAAUUGCCCAAAUUAUAUAUUUGAAAAACAAGCCUUGUGGCACAUGUGGGUUAUUAUUAUCUGUGUUAUACAGUUGGUUUGAUAUCUUGAGGUCAAAAGGUCAAGGAGCAUAAUACGUUUAUUUAUUUAUUUUAUUUGUGAAAAAAUGCCAAAAUGAUACAUUUGAAAAAUAAGCCUUGUGGCAAAUGGGGGUUAUUAUUAUCUGUGUUAUACAGUUGGUUUUAUAUCUUGAGGUCAAAAGGUCAAGGAGCAUAAUACGUUUAUUUAUUUAUUUUAUUUGUGAAAAAUUGCCCAAAUGAUAUAUUUGAAAAAUAAGCCUUGUGGCAAAUGGGGGUUAUUAUUAUCUGUGUUAUACAGUUGGUUUUAUAUCUUGAGGUCAAAAGGUCAAGGAGCAUAAUACGUUUAUUUAUUUAUUUUAUUUGUGAAAAAUUGCCGAAAUGAUAUUUUUGAAAAAUAAGCCUUGUGGCACAGGGGGGUUAUUAUUAUCUGUGUUAUACAGUUGGUUUGAUAUCUUGAGGUCAAUAGGUCAAGGAGCAUAAUACGUUUAUUUAUUUAUUUUAUUUGUGAAAAAUUGCCCAAAUGAUAUAUUUGAAAAAUAAGCCUUGUGGCAAAUGGGGGUUAUUAUUAUCUGUGUUAUACAGUUGGUUUGAUAUCUUGAGGUCAAAAGGUCAAGGAGCAUAAUACGUUUAUUUAUAAAUGUUAUAUUAAUUGUUAAAAAAUGCUGAAAUUAUAUAUUUGAAAAACAAGCCUUGUGGCACAUGGGGGUUAUUAUUGUCUGUAUUAUACAGUUGGUUUGACAUCUUGAGGUCAAAAGGUCAAGGAGCAUAAUAAGUUUAAAAAAGAAGUAAAAAAUCAAUGAAUUUUUUUUUUUGGAAAAAUAAGCCUUGUGGCACAUGAGGGACAUUAAUCAGUAUGUUGCGCAGUUUGUUAGACAUCAUUCACUAAAAUGGUUGAAG